rnacentral:lncRNA from 1 species
GAAGAAGUGGUGAAACCCGCCUCUAAUAAUGAAGAAGAUGAUAAGGAAGAAGAGGGUUCCUUUUCUCUAAAUUUGGAUGAUCCCGGGAAUUGGAAAAUCAUUGAUCAGACAACAAGGGAUUACUUAGUUGAAAGGGGUCCAAAAAGAGUUGAUAACAUUUCAUUUCCAAAAGAUUGAACAAAUAGACAUUUCGAUUCUUCACAAUAUAAGCGACUGCUACGAAAUGGGCAAACAAUUGAUAGAAGAUGGCUAGUAUAUUCAAUAUCUAUGGACAGGAUCUUCUGCUUUUGUUGCAAGUUAUUUAAAACACCUAAAAAUGUGACCAAAGUUAGCCAACUAGGUAAUGAUGGAUUCAAAGAUUGGCAUAAUUUGCAUCGGUCUAUGAAAAGUCAUGAAGGAAAUGAAGACCAUUUAUGUUGCAUGAUUGGCUGGAUUGAAUUGGAAAAUAGGCUUCGAACAAAAAUUACAAUUGAUAAAAGCGUUGAAUUGUUGAUCGAUGCAGAAAGAGAACAUUGGAGGCAUGUAUUAACAAGGAUAAUCGCUAUUGUUAAAAGACUUGCCAAAAAUACCUUGCCAUUUCGAGAAGAUAGUGAGAGGCUAAAUGUUGAGAAUAAUGGCCUAUUUUUACAAAUGGUGGAAAUGGUUAGUGAGUUUGAUCCAGUAAUGAAAGAGUACCUUCGGCAGGCUAAUGCGAGAGAGAUUCAAUACACGUAUCUUGGCAAAAAAAUCCAAAAUGAGUUGAUACAACUGUUGGCUAAUGAGGUGAGAAAUACAAUUGUUAAGAAAGUUAACAUGCAAAAUAUUUCACAGUUAUACUUGAUUGAACUCCAGAUGCAAGUCGUGAGGAGCAGAUGUCUUUAAUAGUACGAUUUGUAGAUGAUUCAGCAAACUUACCUACAGUUGAGGAACAUUAGCUUGAAUUUUUGAAGGUAGAUGACACAACAGGACUUGGACUUACAACUGAGCUUCAAAAGGCUUUGAUCAAAUUUGAUCUGGAUAUUGAUGACAUUAGAGGGCAAGGGUAUGAUAAUGGAUCUAACAUGAGCGGGAAGCACAAAGGUGUACAAAAAAGAGUACAUGAAAUAAAUCCCCGAGCUUUCUAUACUCCAUGUAGUGCUCAUAGUCUAAAUCUAGCAUUAUGUGAUAUGGUGAAUUGUUGUUCCAAAGCUGUAUCCUUCUUCGGAGUGAUACAACACAUCUACACUUUAUUUUCCUCUUUUACCAAGUGAUGAAAAAUUUUCAAAGAUAAUGUAAAAAGGGUUGACAGUGAAGCCAUUGUUACAAACACGUUGGGAAAGUCAUGUUGAGAGUGUAAAACCUAUAAUGGAGCAAACUGCACAAAUAAGAGAAGCCUUACUUGAUUUGGCAGAAUCUAACGAAGAUCCUAAAGUGAAGAGUGAAGCCGAGUCGUUAGCAACACAUGAACUUCAGAAUUUUGAGUUUUUGCUUGGCAUAGUAAUCUGGUACAGGUUGUUGCAUGCAGUCAAUAUUGUGAGUAAAUUUCUUCAAACUGAAUCCAUGGAUAUUGAUCGUGCUAUCGAUCUAUUGUAAGGACUUGUUUUAUUUUUUGAAGAUUAUAGAGAAAUCGAAUUUGCUGUUGCUAUGGAUGAAGCAACAAAAAAGGCAAACAAAAUGGGAAUUGAAGCUGUAUUUACAGAAAAAAGCAUAAUUCGAAGGAAAAAACAAUUUGAUGAAAGUGGUAAUGAUGAGGUAAAACAAUCAGCAAAAGAAUCUUUUAGAGUUGAGUACUUUGUUUUUAUAAUUGAUCAAGCUCUAUCUUCUCUGAGAGGUCGAUUUGAACAAUUCAAACAAUAUGAUGACAUAUUUGGAUUUUUGUUUAAUUUGAAAAAGUUAAGGGAUGCAACUUUAUCAAGUUUGUUGAACUCUUGUAUGAAUCUUGAGAAAUAUCUUGAAGAUGAUGGGCAUUCGGACAUCAGUGGAGAUGAUUUAUGUUUGGAAUUACAAGUCUUGAAGAUUUAUUUACCAAAUGAACCAACAAGAGCAAUUGAACUGCUGCAAUAUUUGAAGACUCACAAUAUUUGUUACCCAAAUGCUUAUAUUGCUUACAAAAUUUUGUUAACCAUACUGGUUACAAUUGCACCUGCGGCAAG